CGACACUGUUGGAUGUUAACUCUCUCCAGCUUGAACAGCUUAUAGAUAAUGAUGAGUUGCUCUUGGUUGAUGGCCGUGAAGCUCCACCUAUCAGGGAGCCAGCACCAGAAGAGAUGACUAUCCCUACAAUGAGAGAGAUUGCUGAAGCCACAGUAAACCUCGCAAAACGCAACCACAACCGCGACCCAGAUCCAAUGAAUCAUUCGACUGAUGUUAGUUUGGAUUUUCUUUUAUAACACCUUGGAUCUGGGUGAUGUGACUAACACAUUCAAUAAUUAGCUUAGGGCCAGGUGACAUGAACAUGGAAUCAUGGAAAAAUUUGAGGGCUGGGUUAAUGGGAACAUGGUGUCAUAUAAAAUAUUAGGUUAAGAGCUAGAUGAUGUGAACAUGUUAUGGUAAAAUUUGGCUGAGAGCUGGGUAAACGUGAACAUGAUGUUACAUAAAAAUUUGAAUGAGAGCCUGGUUGGCAUGAAAAGCGUCAUGUAAAAAUUUAGCUGACAGCCGAGUGAGGUGAACAUGGUAUCAUGGAUAAAUUUGGUUGAGGGCCAGGUUGACAAGAACAUGCCAUCAUGAGAAUUUUGGCAAAAGGCCAGGGAGACAGUAAAGAUUUGCCAUGAGUGCACAAGGCUCUUGGAUGGCAAUUAGGCUCAUACUUUUGCAUUAUUUCUAUUGGUUAAAGGGUGAAAUGUAACAUUUUGUGAGCCAUGACUACGAGUGCUGGCUCUAGAGA